rnacentral:rRNA from 1 species
GGUUAAGCGACCAAGCGUAUACGGUGGAUGCCUUGGCAGUCAGAGGCGAUGAAGGACGUAGUAACUUGCGAAAAGCGUUGGUGAGCUAGUAACAAGCAUUUGAGCCAGCGAUGUCCGAAUGGGGAAACCCGGCACCAUAAGGUGUCAUCACUAAGUGAAUACAUAGCUUAGUGAGGCGAACGAGGGGAACUGAAACAUCUAAGUACCCUUAGGAAAAGAAAUCAACCGAGAUUCCCCAAGUAGCGGCGAGCGAACGGGGAUUAGCCCUUAAGUCUUUGGGGUGUUAGUGGAAUGUGUUGGAAAGCACAGCGGCACAGGGUGAUAGCCCCGUACAUGUAAACUAACCAGAGAUGAAAUCGAGUAAGGCGGCACACGUGAUAUGUUGUCUGAAUAUGGGGGGACCAUCCUCCAAGGCUAAAUACUCCUGACUGACCGAUAGUGAACCAGUACCGUGAGGGAAAGGCGAAAAGAACCCCUGUGAGGGGAGUGAAAUAGAACCUGAAACCGUAUACGUACAAGCAGUGGAAGCCCCAUCACCAGAUUGCUUUUUGCAGUAGCAGUCAAUUAGGCGAUUGCCUAGAUUAUUCAUGGAAAGACUAAAAGGAACUUUAUAUGAAACGACUACUGCUAAUUCUGUGUGUGGCAAUAGGUUCUGUAUCCUCAGUUAGUGCAAAUCCUGGAUUUUGUGAAGAUGGAUACUAUGACCCUGAAAAUCCGUUUUUUUGUCCAAAAAAAGACUGAUAUUUAACACCGUAGUAGUGGACUAUUUAAUUUAAAGAAUUGGUUCACGGUGAGAGUAAUUUGGGAUGGGGUGACUGCGUACCUUUUGUAUAAUGGGUCAGCGACUUACAUUUAGUAGCGAGGUUAAGCGAAUAGCGGAGCCGUAGGGAAACCGAGUGUUAACUGCGCGUUUAGUUGCUAGGUGUAGACCCGAAACCCGGUGAUCUAGCCAUGGGCAGGUUGAAGGUUGAGUAACAUCAACUGGAGGACCGAACCGACUAAUGUUGAAAAAUUAGCGGAUGACUUGUGGCUGGGGGUGAAAGGCCAAUCAAACCGGGAGAUAUCUGGUUCUCCUCGAAAGCUAUUUAGGUAGCGCCUCGGACGAACACCUUUGGGGGUAGAGCACUGUUAAGGCUAGGGGGUCAUCCCGACUUACCAACCCUUUGCAAACUCCGAAUACCAAAGAGUGCUAUCCGGGAGACAGACGGCGGGUGCUAACGUCCGUCGUCAAAAGGGAAACAACCCAGACCGUCAGCUAAGGUCCCAAAGUAAUUGCUAAGUGGGAAACGAUGUGGGAAGGCUUAGACAGCUAGGAUGUUGGCUUAGAAGCAGCCAUCAUUUAAAGAAAGCGUAAUAGCUCACUAGUCGAGUCGGCCUGCGCGGAAGAUGUAACGGGGCUAAGCAAUUCACCGAAGCUACGGGUACUGAUGCUUGCAUCAGUGCGGUAGAGGAGCGUUCUGUAAGCCGUUGAAGGCGAAGGGGUAACCCACGCUGGAGGUAUCAGAAGUGCGAAUGCUGACAUGAGUAACGAUAAAGGGGGUGAAAAACCCCCUCGCCGAAAGACCAAGGGUUCCUGUCCAACGUUAAUCGGGGCAGGGUGAGUCGACCCCUAAGGCGAGGCUGAAAGGCGUAGUCGAUGGGAAACGGGUUAAUAUUCCCGUACUUCUGCUAACUGCGAUGGAGAGACGGAGAAGGCUAGGCCGGCGCGGCGUUGGUAGUCCGCGUUUAAGGUAGUAGGUGGUGUGCUUAGGCAAAUCCGGGCACACAUACACUGAGAGCUGACGACGAGUCCCUAAGGGGAUGAAGUGGUUGAUGCCAUGCUUCCAGGAAAAUCUUCUAAGCUUCAGGUUAGCAGGAAUCGUACCCCAAACCGACACAGGUGGUCGGGUAGAGAAUACCAAGGCGCUUGAGAGAACUCGGCUGAAGGAACUAGGCAAAAUGGUACCGUAACUUCGGGAGAAGGUACGCUCCUGUUGGUGAUGAGACUUGCUCUCUGAGCUGACGGGAGUCGCAGAUACCAGGUGGCUGCAACUGUUUAUCAAAAACACAGCACUGUGCAAAAUCGCAAGAUGACGUAUACGGUGUGACGCCUGCCCGGUGCCGGAAGGUUAAUUGAUUGGGUUAUCUUCGGAGAAGCUCAUGAUCGAAGCCCCGGUAAACGGCGGCCGUAACUAUAACGGUCCUAAGGUAGCGAAAUUCCUUGUCGGGUAAGUUCCGACCUGCACGAAUGGCGUAAUGAUGGCCACGCUGUCUCCAGCCGAGACUCAGUGAAGUUGAAAUUGCGGUGAAGAUGCCGUAUACCCGCGGCUAGACGGAAAGACCCCGUGAACCUUUACUAUAGCUUGGCACUGAACAUUGACCCUACAUGUGUAGGAUAGGUGGGAGACUAUGAAGAUGAGACGCCAGUCUUGUUGGAGUCAACCUUGAAAUACCACCCUUGUAGUGUUGAUGUUCUAACCUGGGCCCCUAAUCGGGGUUAGGGACAGUGCCUGGUGGGUAGUUUGACUGGGGCGGUCUCCUCCCAAAGAGUAACGGAGGAGCACGAAGGUUGGCUAAGUACGGUCGGACAUCGUACGGUUAGUGUAAUGGCAUAAGCCAGCUUAACUGCGAGACAGACACGUCGAGCAGGUGCGAAAGCAGGUCAUAGUGAUCCGGUGGUUCUGAAUGGAAGGGCCAUCGCUCAACGGAUAAAAGGUACUCCGGGGAUAACAGGCUGAUACCGCCCAAGAGUUCAUAUCGACGGCGGUGUUUGGCACCUCGAUGUCGGCUCAUCACAUCCUGGGGCUGAAGUCGGUCCCAAGGGUAUGGCUGUUCGCCAUUUAAAGUGGUACGCGAGCUGGGUUCAGAACGUCGUGAGACAGUUCGGUCCCUAUCUGCCGUGGGCGUUGGAUGAUUGAGGGGAGCUGCUCCUAGUACGAGAGGACCGGAGUGGACGAACCGCUGGUGUUCGGGUUGUCAUGCCAAUGGCAUUGCCCGGUAGCUACGUUCGGAAUCGAUAACCGCUGAAAGCAUCUAAGCGGGAAGCGAGCCCCAAGAUGAGUCAUCCCUAGGGCCUAGAGCCCUCUGAAGAGCCGUUCGAGACCAGGACGUUGAUAGGCAGGGUGUGUAAGCGUUGCGAGGCGUUGAGCUAACCUGUACUAAUGACUCGAGAGGCUUAACCAU